AGCAUAUCAAUAGCAUACGAGAUUAUCCGGAGCAUAUUAAUGGCAAACAGGACAUUUCAGAAUAUAUCAGUUCAUAGCGAAUGGAGCACAGAGUAAUUGGAGCAUAUCAAUAGCGUAUGAAAUGUUCCGGAGCAUAUCAAUGACAUAUGGAACAUUUCGAAGCGUAACAAUAACAAAUAAAACAUUUCUUAGCAUAUCAAAGGCGUAUGAAAUGUUUCGGAGCAUAUCAAUGACAAAUGAAACAUUUCAGAACAUAUCAAUGGCAUAUGGACCAUUUCGAAGCAUAUCAAAGAACGAAUACGAAAUAGAAGCUCAGACGUCGUACCCUAGCAUAGUGCAUGUGAGGUUUAACUCAGUUGUGGCUCCACGCCGUGAUGAGUUCUCGACUCCAUCCACGGGUAGCCCUUUCCUACUCGAGCCCUCUCACACUACCCAAGUGCUAGGUCGGCUCUGAAUUUCAUAUCAAACAGAUAGAUGGUGAAGUAGGAUUCCAAACAUAAUAUGGUCUAUUCAUUUCUGAAUGACCACCAAACAUAAUCUAGAGCAUCGCGGGCUCUAAGCACAUACCCUUUUCCAUUUCUGGCAAAGGUCCAAAUAAUCCCACAAACACCAGAGUACAAAAGGGUAUUGUGAACAAUAAAUUGGGACAUAUCGGAAGCACAUGCGGAAUAACGAAAUGUACAUGUGCCUUUAUGAAACUUUACGAUACAAACAUGAAGUUUACAUAACAGAUUUAGGUAUCAAAAUACAUGUAGGACAAGAGCAUACAAGAAUUCGAAGCAGUAAUAUAGAGCUCAAUUGAAUAAGAAAGCUAAAGGAUAUCAAUUUCCAAAGGAAUGAAAUCAGAAUAUACGAAAUCGACCAAAGCUCGAUUUUUGGCAGAAUUCAAGAGGCACAUUGAACAAAUGAUUCAAACUAUCAAUCAUGCUCCAAUAUACUCAAGAAAGCUAUCAAAAGAAAGGUUUAUGAGUCUAUAUUCUGAUCAAAUAA
rnacentral:lncRNA from 1 species